UUAAAGAGUUCUAUAACUCCCAAACCCAUGUGAACAUACCUAACGUUGCCUCGGCAGGUCGCACCUACCUUGUAGCACCCUACCCUGUAGGGCCUACCCGGGAGGUGCGGGUAAGCCUGCCGGCGGCCCACCAAACUCUGUUUGAUAUUGAAUUCUGAACCUAUAACUAAAUAAGUUAAAACUUUCAACAACGGAUCUCUUGGUUCUGGCAUCGAUGAAGAACGCAGCGAAAUGCGAUAAGUAAUGUGAAUUGCAGAAUUCAGUGAAUCAUCGAAUCUUUGAACGCAUAUUGCGCCCAUUAGUAUUCUAGUGGGCAGGACCGUUCGAGCGUCAUUUCAACCCUUAAGCCUUCGUUGCUUAGUGUUGGGAGCCUACGGCAACGUAGCUCCUCAAAGUUAGUGGCGGAGUUGGUUCACACUCUAGACGUAGUAAUUUUUUAUCUCGCCUAUUAGUUGGACUAAUCCCCUGCCGUAAAACCCCUAAUUUAUCAAGGUUGACCUCGAAUCGGUUCAGACAAACUCGCUAAAUUGAAGCAUCUUAGUCAGCGAAGGAAAAGAAACCAACAGGGAUUGCCCUAGUAACGGCGAGUGAAGCGGCAACAGCUCAAAUUUGAAAUCUGGCCCUCGGGUCCGAG
rnacentral:rRNA from 1 species